ACAAUCAAGCAGGUAUGUAUGCUUGGUUAGUCUAACCUUCUACGUCCUGUUGGAAGGUUAGGCGACACCGUCAAAUUGCGGGGACCUCCUUAGAGCCUCUACCACACCUCUUACCUAGAAAUAGGCACGAGUCGUAAUAGUUGUAGGGGAUUGGAAAAUCCGCAGCCAAGUCCUUCUUACUGCUUUCGCGGUGAUGGAUGCAGUUCACAGACUAGACGGCGGUGGGGGGCUAUCAGUUAGUCAUAGCCUCAUAAGAUAUAGUCGAUUCACAUCUGAAAGGAUGUG
rnacentral:ncRNA from 1 species